rnacentral:rRNA from 1 species
AGAGUUUGAUCAUGGCUCAGAUUGAACGCUGGCGGCAUGCUUUACACAUGCAAGUCGAACGGCAGCGCGGGGGCAACCCUGGCGGCGAGUGGCGAACGGGUGAGUAAUGCAUCGGAACGUAUCCUGUAAUGGGGGAUAACGUAGCGAAAGUUACGCUAAUACCGCAUACGCUCGAGAGAGGAAAGUGGGGGAUCGCAAGACCUCACGUUAUAGGAGCGGCCGAUGUCCGAUUAGCUAGUUGGUGGGGUAAAGGCCUACCAAGGCGACGAUCGGUAGCUGGUCUGAGAGGAUGAUCAGCCACACUGGGACUGAGACACGGCCCAGACUCCUACGGGAGGCAGCAGUGGGGAAUUUUGGACAAUGGGCGAAAGCCUGAUCCAGCCAUGCCGCGUGCGGGAAGAAGGCCUUCGGGUUGUAAACCGCUUUAGUACCGGGAAAAGGGGUGCGAGGAUAAUACCCUCGUGCUUUGAUGGUACUGGAAGAAUAAGCACCGGCUAACUACGUG